rnacentral:rRNA from 1 species
AGCGAACGCUGGCGGCAGGCCUAACACAUGCAAGUCGAACGAACCCUUCGGGGUUAGUGGCGGACGGGUGAGUAACACGUGGGAACGUGCCUUUAGGUUCGGAAUAACUCAGGGAAACUUGUGCUAAUACCGAAUGUGCCCUUCGGGGGAAAGAUUUAUCGCCUUUAGAGCGGCCCGCGUCUGAUUAGCUAGUUGGUGAGGUAAUGGCUCACCAAGGCUACGAUCAGUAGCUAGUCUGAGAGGAUGACCAGCCACAUUGGGACUGAGACACGGCCCAAACUCCUACGGGAGGCAGCAGUGGGGAAUCUUGCGCAAUAGGCGAAAGCCUGACGCAGCCAUGCCGCGUGGAUGAUGAAGGUCUUAGGAUUGUAAAAUCCUUUCACCGGUGAAGAUAAUGACUGUAGCCGGAGAAGAAGCCCCGGCUAACUUCGUGCCAGCAGCCGCCGUAAAAC